ensembl:lncRNA
GGUAGACCUGGAGGCCGUAGAAGAAGAGGGUCAAAUUUAUCCAAUGAAAUUCGAGCAGCAUUGGUUGUGAACCAUGGGGCAACAUUGAGAGAGGCUGGACAGCGAGUUCAGCCCAACCUCAGCCAAUAUGCUGUUGCGUCAUUAAUACGGACAUUUCGCCAAGAGCACCGGGGAGAUUUGCUUUUCUCUACUCUCUACAGUACAGUAAAAUGCAGCCUAUAUGCACUACAUGAGUAUUUUUUGUACCCAUUCACUGCAGUCCAUGAUUGAAACAAUGCCUAAAAGUCUGGCCUGUGACAUUUUACAUUUUGAUUUUUCAACAUAGGACUGAGGCCCGACAACAUCAUGGAUGAAGGGGCCGAAUAUUCUGAGACUAACAAGAGACAGCUAUCAUAAACAUGGUUUUAGCCAAUAAUGCUAUAUGAAAUCCAUCCACCAAACCCUUUUCAGUAACGUCAAUCAGGUCUCCAUAUCAACACUGGGACGAAUCCUUAAAAAACAUCAUGUACAGGUGAAACAAUUGUACAAAGUGCCAUUUGAAAGAAAUUCAGAGAGAGUGAAGAACCUGCAAUAUGUUGAGAAUUUUGCAAAUGGAUGCUGAUGCAAUCCGGCAUGAAUUCAUAUUCAUAGAGAGGCUGGGUUUCACCUGACUAAGGUUAGAAGAAGAGGGAGAAACAUCAUCGGCCACAGAGCUUUUCUGCAUGUUCUGGCCCAACGUGGUAACAUCACAAUGUGCACCGUAAUCACGCAGAAUGGGGUCCUCCACCGCCAUGCCAAGUUAGAUCCAUACAGCACAAACCACAUCCUCACAUUUUUAGACCAACUACAUGACAUUGUCACACCAGAAGACCAGAUGGAGGCAGAGCAGAUGAGAUAUGUUGUCAUCUGGGACAAUGUAUCUUUUCACCAAUCUACUCUGGUCCAAAACUGGUUUCAACAGCACACAUCAUUUCAGUUCAGUACCUUCCACCAUACUCUCUCUUCCUUAAUCCCAUUGAGGAGUUUUUCUCUGCAUGGCGGUGGAAGGUUUACGAUCUCCAGCCCUAUGUCAGGAUACCCCUCAUUCAAGCCAUGGAGGAGGCGUACAACCAAAUUGAUGCAGGGUCUGUGCAAGGAUGGAUUCGCCAUUCAAGAAGAUUCUUCCCUCGCUGUCUGGCGAGAGAGAAUGUAGCCUGCAAUGUGGAUGAAGUGCUCUGGCCCGAUCCAGCUAGGCGAAGAGAUGAUGCCUAA